GAGGUUAUAGCUCAGUGGUAGAGAGCAUGCCUAGCAUGCGUGAGGUCCUGGGUUCAUUCCCCAGUACCUCCA
rnacentral:tRNA from 1 species